rnacentral:misc_RNA from 1 species
GUGUUCCUUCCAUAACAUUGAACCUAUUCCAUUUGCUUAUUUUAUUUGUUGAAGUGUUCUAUUUUCUUUACCCAGGUUGCUUUGAUGAAGACUCGAAAUUAAGAUAUUUUUAUUUUUCAUUUUUAAUUCCGAGACUAUUCUAUAGAGGUCACAGAAGUCAAGGACCUUGAAAGGGAGCAAAGCACAAGGGAAAAUCUGAUGAAGACGAAAGCCAUUUGAACUUC